AGGAGGAGGAGGACCAAGAAGGGACGACGGUGGCGAAGCGGAGGGCCGUGGCGGUGGAGUCACAGCAAGAGCGGUCGAGGAAGACGCGGAGCCCGGCGCAGGAAGGGACCCAGGCUGGAUGCCCUGAGUAAGCUCCUCCAUGACAAGAUCGUCACGGACCUGCAGGAAGGUGGGGAAGGGCCGCUGCCGAGUGAUCCAGGUGCGGAGGUGGGCGUAGCGCUCGUUGAGGCCGCGAAGAACGUUGAGAACCAAAAUCCGGUCCUCCACGGCCCCAGCCAAGGUCCCCGAGGGAGUCCGCCAUGGUCUUCAUCUUCCGGCAGAACUCGCCAACGGAGAGGUCGCCCUGGACGAAGGUGCGGAAGCUCGCAUCGAGACGAAGGGCCCGGGCUUCGGCGUUGCCCAGGAACUGGCCCUCGAGCGCCAGCUAGGCCCGGCGGGCAGUAGUGUCAGGGGUGCCGCGGACGAGAUCGUGGAGGUCGAGGGAGAUGGUCCCCAGGAUCCACG
rnacentral:lncRNA from 1 species